AGAGUUUGAUCCUGGCUCAGAGCGAACGCUGGCGGCAGGCUUAACACAUGCAAGUCGAGCGGGCACCUUCGGGUGUCAGCGGCAGACGGGUGAGUAACACGUGGGAACGUGCCCUUCGGUUCGGAAUAACUCAGGGAAACUUGAGCUAAUACCGGAUACGCCCUUAUGGGGAAAGGUUUACCGCCGAAGGAUCGGCCCGCGUCUGAUUAGCUAGUUGGUGGGGUAACGGCCUACCAAGGCGACGAUCAGUAGCUGGUCUGAGAGGAUGAUCAGCCACACUGGGACUGAGACACGGCCCAGACUCCUACGGGAGGCAGCAGUGGGGAAUAUUGGACAAUGGGCGCAAGCCUGAUCCAGCCAUGCCGCGUGAGUGAUGAAGGCCUUAGGGUUGUAAAGCUCUUUUGUCCGGGACGAUAAUGACGGUACCGGAAGAAUAAGCCCCGGCUAACUUCGUGCCAGCAGCCGCGGUAAUAC
rnacentral:rRNA from 1 species